rnacentral:rRNA from 1 species
AUUACCGCGGCUGCUGGCACGUAGUUAGCCGGUGCUUAUUCUUCAGGUACCGUCAUCCUCCUAGGGUAUUAGCCCAAAGGAUUUCUUCCCUGACAAAAGUGCUUUACAACCCGAAGGCCUUCUUCGCACACGCGGCAUUGCUGGAUCAGGGUUUCCCCCAUUGUCCAAAAUUCCCCACUGCUGCCUCCCGUAUGAGUCUGGGCCGUGUCUCAAUCCCAGUGUGGCUGAUCGUCCUCUCAGACCAGCUACUGAUCGUCGCCUUGGUAGGCCUUUACCCUACCAACUAGCUAAUCAGCCAUCGGCCGCUCCAAUAACGUGAGGCCUUGCGGUCCCCCACUUUCCCCCUCACGGCGUAUGCGGUAUUAAUCCGGCUUUCGCCGAGCUAUCCCCCAUUACUGGGCACGUUCCGAUGUAUUACUCACCCGUUCGCCACUCGUCAGCGGAGCAAGCUCCCUGUUACCGUU